GCGGGUGUAGUUUAGGGGUAAAACUACAGCCUUCCAAGCUGUUGUCGCGAGUUCGAUUCUCGUCACCCGCU
rnacentral:tRNA from 1 species